AUAAGUGACAACAAGAAGCACGUGAUAGAAUGUACCUUGGCUGCUCAUUUGUGUCGUGGGGCUGUGAAUCUUGACAACAUGCCACUGAAGCUCUUUUUUAGCACAUUCAUGCAUAAUGCAUGAUGCAUCCACACAUACAUACAUUCAUACAUACUACAUACUUGCUUCGCUUGCACAUUCAUAAUUUCUCUGAAACGUCUCUCGGUGAUAAGUGACAACAAGAAGCACGUGAGAGAAUGUACCUUGGCUGCUAAUUUUUGUCGUGGGGCUGUGCAUCUUGACAACAUGCCACUGAAGCUCUUUUUUAGCACAUUCAUGCAUAAUGCAUGAUGCAUCCACACAUACAUACAUUCAUACAUACUACAUACUUGCUUCGCUUGCACAUUCAUAAUUUCUCUG